rnacentral:lncRNA from 1 species
CCGGAGACGGACCCCUUUAGAUUUCGGGGCGGCUGAGGAGCGCGGCGGCUGCUCUGUGGCUGAGUGAGGGGGGUGGGCGGAAUGGCGGGGGAAGGGAAGGUGACUGUGCCUCGAGGGCCGAGCCGCCCGGCCUUGCCAGCCAGCCGCCGCCUCAGCGUUCGGCCGGGGGCGGGGCCGCAGGUCAGCUUGGAAGAAGUGAUCACCAAGAGACACCCAAGAUCUUGUUUAGGCAAUAAAUGAAUGAAGACCAUGGAUUAAGAACCGUUGCUAGAUAUGUAGAAUAUUAAAAGGUGGAAAAGGAAGGUGCUCAUAACUCCUGGUUUUCUGGACCAAACAUAAUUUCUGGGCUUUAUAGACCUAGUGAAAGAGAACGGCGCACGGUUUAUUCUAAUCGUCCACCUGAGUCAUUCGGUUCGGUUUGGGUUGCCAAGGAGGCUCUAACUGGAGCCCUUUCUCCUGGUUUUUCGGCGUGGUUGCCUUGGG